ACCUAGCUUAUCAUAUAUGGACCAAAUUUUAUAUAACCCUUAAAUAUUUUCGGUAACUAUUUUGAAGCAAUUGUUCCGCGCCUUCCCUUCCACUCUCCUGAAAUGUGACCUCUCAUUGUCUCAAAUUCUUUUUUCCCCUAAUGGAAAUGUACCUUAGUUUGGCUAAACCCUCAUGAAAAAGCUUUAUGACCUCAUUUGGCUAAACUCUUAAUUAGUUCCAGCAUCACACUAUAGAAACAAAGAAAAACGGAGCCGAGAGAGGUGAGAGCGGUGAUUCUCUGUGGUGGAGAAGCGCCUCAAGUAAGCCACCAAUGGGGCAAAGAACCACCAACACCGGCGCGGCGCGGAAAUUGUAAGGUUUGAUUCUACUUGGUUGAUCAAUGAAUGGAGCAUGUGAGCGUCAAAUGGAGCUCUUGUGACUUGAUUAUUGUGCUGGAGUGCCCCCGCGCCGCAAUUGGCAAUCGAACAGGAUAUAUGUAAGAGCUGUAUGUCAAUUAGAGCUCAUUAGGAAUGGAAAAGAGAGGAAGCUAUAGAGUUUGCACCAAAGGGAGAGGGAAAUUAAAGCAUUUUAGAAGAUUUGGAGAAGACUGACACUUCUUUCCUUUGAAGAUGUCUCCAACUGUCCUGUUGGAGAGGUUAUUGACAUAUCACAGUGUUUAAAGAUGCCAAAGUGAAGUGAAUGCUGCCAUACUUACAAGUUAGCAUCAUGACAAAGGUCUGUAUUAUUGCAACUUUUUGUUUACUUAAAGGUGCAUUUGGAAAUCUAUGUUUUCCAAAAUUACGGUUGAAAGAAGCAACAUCCCUUAGCUUUUGUGUAGUCCACCGUGAUUUUGGUGAUACUGUGGUUUUCUACUGUGUAUUCGAACACAAUAUAUUAUUACUCAUAUGGCAAAUUCAGACUCCAGACGCACUGUGUUGGGAGCUUCUUAAAAGGACCCUAUUACUAGUUAUGUUCAUUUCACAGGUUUUCUGUCUAACACCUUCAAGCAAGUACUAAGCCCCACUUUCUUUUAUGAUUUGAUUUGAUUCCAUUCCAUUAUUAAAUUUCAGCAUGUAUAGUGUGUUGUUAUCCGAGCAGGUUUACUGGUCCCUUGGUCUCAAGGAACUUUGAGUUUCAUUUCUUAAAGCUCCAAAGUGCAUUUUAGAUUAAGCAUUGAGACAGAAUAUUUAAUGGCCAGAUGAUAGAUAUAAAAAAUAUUAGACAAGAGAAUAACUAAUUUUUUGCUUCUGAU